rnacentral:lncRNA from 1 species
AAACACUACUUCAAGUGGAGGAAAUGAAGGGUGGAUUUCUGAUAAUAUUAACAAGGGUCAUUUCGACAAAUAUUUAUGGGUUAUAGCUGGAAUUAAUGUUCUUAAUCUACUGUAUUACUUAGUAUGCAGUUGGGCUUAUGGACCUACAGCUGAUCAAGUAUCCAAAGUGAGUGAAGAAGAAAAUGGUUCCAAGGAGGAAAAUUCAACUGAAUUCAAAAAUGUCAAUCCACAAAUUGAUGACAAGGUUAGUGAUGAAACUAGUUCAAAGGAGAAAGAGUUAACUGAAUUCAAGAAUGGGGGUCAGGUUGAGAAAGUAUCCAAAGUGAGUGAAGAAAAUGGUUCCAAGGAGGAAUAGUUACGAUAGAAGGCUUAUAGUUGGUCCAAUACAUUCAGAGAAAUACCAAGGACAUUCUUUCUAUCCAUAACUCUUUUAUUAGAUAAAACUCAUGUGAGUCUCACUAUUGAAUAUGAGAUUAAUUUCCAAAUCGUGGGAACCACAUGUCACAUGUGUUUCACGAGUGGAUGUUAGAAUGUGAGUAUCCAUAUAACACUCAUCAUUCAUGAGAUAUUAGUUUUUUUUUUGAAAAAUAUUAGUUAAAAUAUUUUAUUUAUUAUUUUGGUAUAUUAGUUGUUAUUUUAAAUUCUUAUGUUUCUAAGAUUUUCUUAUGGACCUUAAGAUUAUGACACGUGGAUGCUAGAUUAGUAAUUAUUGUCGGUAAAUUAGUAUGAUACUCGUGUAGGCCAGCUAUUAGGGCGUCAUGACACGCGUAUUAACCGAUAAUAGUAAUAGUGUAUUAAUAACAUUUACUUAAUACGAUAACAUUUACUUAAUACAUGCGUUAAUACUAACUAAUAUGCUUAACCAAAACCAUUACUUAUAGUAAAAAGAUAAUAAUGAAAUGGUAACAAAACACAACAGUAUUGCAAUUUGGGGUCUAACUCAUUACAAAAGUGGCUUGCAAGGUGAGGAGUGCAAUGAAGGCAAAGUAAAGGCCGCAGUUUAGGCAGCCAGGGGCGGACCGCAAUAAAGAUGGAAUUUCGAACACACUCCUUUAUGCUUUAGCCCGCAAUAGAUCUAGGAUAGGCUCUGAUACCAUGUUGUGAAAUUUGGGGCCUAACUCAUCUUUAUAAAACCGGCUUACAAGGUGAAGAGUGCAUCUUCUUUAUAAACUCUUCUCAAGAGUCCUAUCUAUCCGAUGUGAGAUUAAAUCCAUCCCCCUCAAAGCCAACAUAAUGAAGGUGUUGGAGGCUGCAAUGAAGACAAACCAAAGGCCGCAAUUUAAGCGACCAGAGGUGGACCGCAAUAAAGUCGAAAUUUCCAACAAACUGAAGUCGGAAGAUUUUGCUAACAACGUUGUAGAAGACACAACAUGAACAAUAGUACAAUUUCAAACAUUUAGUUUUACAAAUAUCCUUUAUAAAAUAAGUGUACAGGUGAAAAAUAAAUAUUAACGCAUCUUAAAAGGCAACACAUUUUUAUUUUCUUUAUGGAAUAAAAGGCAACACAUUGUAUCGUAUGAAUGAGGCUUUCUUGAAGAAGAUUAUGUAAAACCUCAUAAAUAAACCAGAUGAGUUAUAGUGUGCAAAGUUCUUAUCAGCAAGUAUGUUAGAAAUAACGAUCUUAUGGUUUCUUGCAACUCUCAGCCUUAUGAUUCCCCCUGUACAAAGCUUUGGACAAAGUCAAUCAAGACAUAAGUUUAAAAGGAGUAAUUGACCUACAUAUAUACAUGGUGGGGGGCAUGUUUUCGUUGGGGUGGAGGAGGGGGGAGAGACUUGGUGGUGGCGGCGGAGGUUGUGGGAGUGGGAGGAGGAGAUGUUACGGGAGUGUAGGUUGUUGUUGUCCGACAUUGUUUUGCAUGUUUCGAUCACUGGCCGAUGGAAUUGGCGCCUUGAUAAUAAUGGUGGCUAUUAUGUCUGUAGUGUUUAUCACAUGCUCACUGCAGAUGACAGACAUGUUAUGGAUACGAUUUCUAAGUUAAUUUGGCACAUACAUGUUCUGGUAAAGGUGUCUCUCCUUGCAUGACGACUACUCCGCAACAGAUUGCCUACCAAAUCUAAUCUUCUGGCUCGCGGGAUCAUCUCUCAUGAGGCACAAAUGUGUGUGGCUGGGUGCGGUGAAGUGGAAACGGCACAACAUUUGUUCGUUUCUUGUACCAUUUUCUAAGAGUUUUGACAUCUUAUUCGUGGUUGGAUAGGGGUCUAUGGGGCUGAUCUGCCUUAUAUACAUGAUCAUUUUCACCAGUUUACUUAUCUGUUAGGCGGAUCGGCGACAAGACGAUCAUUUAUGCAACUUGUGUGGCUUUUAUGUGUUUGGGUUUUGUGGUCUGAAUGUAACAAUAGGUUGUUUCAAAAUAAGGUGACGAAUAUGCAUCAGCUGGUUGAAAAAGUAAAAAUCCACUCUUACUGGUGGAUGAAGGCGGCUAAUGUUGUUUAUGUGUUAGGUGUCCAUAGUUGGCUAUCAUGCCCUCUUAAUUGUCUAGACAUCUGUUAAUUGUGCUUUUGUUUUGCGUUGACAUGUUGUUGCAUUCUGUAGGCACAUCUUGUGUUGAAGAUGUGAGCCAGUUACUGUUACUAUAUAUUAAAAAAAAGAAAUUGCUUCUUCAAAAAAGAAGUUUAAAAUAUGCACUUAUCUUGGGCACUGGUCCUCGUUGUAAUAAAAAAAUAAAUAUGCACAUGUUGUGAUGCAAUUGGUUCUAAUCAAUAAUGAAUUGGGAACUUCUACGAUACACCCGCAAAUUAAGGUGUAUUGGUACUCCCACUUCAAAAAAAUUUAAAUUAACAAUUAUUUUUAUGGAAUAAAGAGCUAUUUGUUGAUAUUUAUAUUUUAGAAAAUUUUAUUUUAUAAGAAAAACAUCAUUUUAUUAUUCAUAAAAAUCAUACUAAUUUUUUUUACAUUUUAUUGUAAAAAAUAAUCAAAAUUCUCUAUUAUGAGUACUAAAAAUUCAGAAAAAUUAAAUUUUAUUUCUUCGACGAUUUUGGUAAAUAAAAUUUAAUUAUUAUAAUUAUAGGUGAUAUAAGACAAUUUUUCUCUUCAAAAAAUAACCCAAAUUUUUAGGUGUACCAUAGAAUUUGUCUAAUGAAUAAUUGGGACUAUAUCAUGAUAUAGAAGAAAAAAAAAAUGAAUUUUUUUUUUACAAGUAUCGAUUCAAGUGCAGCUCAACAUUACAAUUUAAAACCAUACAAGAUGAAAGUUUCUUUUUUUUUUUUUUUUUUUUUUUUUUUUUUUCAGAGAACACAAGAUGAAAGAUUUGAGAAUUUAUUCAGUAACAAUUUUUCGGUGUGCUAAAUUAUUUUAUUAUCUUAUUUUUUUCCCUAAGAAAAAAAUUAUUUUAUUUUUUCGGUGUGCUUCUUUUGGUUUUUUCAGCUUAGUGAAUGGUGACUAACAAUGAUAUGGAUAUUUUAAUAUUUUCAGUUUGGACUUGUUGGUACGAACGUUGAAAAAACUUUCUAAAAUAUAAAAACGUUGAAAAAACUAAGCAAUAUUUCAGUUGGGACUCUUGGUACGAAUAUUGAAAAAACUAAACGCGCUAAUAACAAUAACCUUCUUCGUAGUUUCCCCCAAAACUUGUUAUUUUUUAAAUAUAUUAUUUGAGCAAACCAUUUGUAGCACAACUUAUAGAACAACAAAAAAUAUAUAAAGAAAAUUAGAUAUUAAUACGAAAAUCAAAAUAAUGGAAAGAAAAUAAAAAUAAAAUAAAAAUAUGAGACAAAAAUUAUCAUAAAAUAAUUGAACAAAUAUCAUUUUUUUUUAUCCAUUAAACUAGUGGUCCAAACAUCCACAAGUCUUAGUUCAACUGACAAAAAUGCCGAAAUUAUUAAGUCAGAUGCUAUGAUCGAUGUUCGAACUCCGAUACCUCCACUUAUGUAUGUGAGUUUAAAAUAACUUUUGACAUUUCGUCUAUAAAAAAAAAAAACAAGUGGUCCAAACACCCUAUUUUUUUUAGGGGACCAACAACCUGUUAUUAUUCCACCAUUUGUCAAAAAAACAAAAACCUGUUAUUAUUCCACCAAAUAAAUGUCAACGCUUUAUUUCCUUUCAAAACAAACGCGGUUAAAGUUUUCUUUUUGUCCCUUUUAAUCUUUUUUAUUUUUUUUAUGAAUCAAAAUAUAGUAAGGAAGACAUCAAGGAAAAGCUAGACAUCCGAUUAGAUUGGCAUCCCAAAGCUUCUUCCAUCAUGUACCAUCACAUGUUCGAAAAUUUUAUUUGAAAAAGGAAAUAUUGUACAAGAAAGGGACUAGGCCAAAACCCUAAAAAACAUAAAACAAAAAUGGUAAAACAGAGAUAUAAGGGAAACGAAAAUUCGGAAGACCAUGUAUGUCCCUAAAAAAUUCAUCCUAAAAAAAUAGGUAAAAAAAUUCCACCAAAUUACAUUGGUAAUAACAUGACCAUGACUGUCCAGUAUUUUAAGAUGACCAUGUAUAUUAAGAUGAAUUCGGAUGGCUCUUUGGUUGAUGAUGUUGGGGCUUAUGGAGGUAUUUUCUGUGAUUACAAAGGUUCUUUUUUAGGAUGUUUUGCUUCUAAUAUGAGGCCUAGUUCGGUUAUUGAAGCAGAAUUGAACAACUUUAUUUUGGGUUUAGAGUAUGUUGGUCUCAUGUUUGGGUAGAAGGUGACUCCAAGAGUGCUCUGUUGGCCUUCAAGAAAUCUGCUCGUGUUCCCUUCAAGAUUAGAAAUCGCUGUCACAAUUACUUGCAUGUUAGAGUUCACAUUUUUAUCGUCACAUAUUUUUAUUUACUUAUUGGUUUCUUUAAAUUUUUGGUUAUCAAUUUUAGUCUAUGUUUAAUUACAAAAAUUUAUGCUACCAAAAAAAAUUACAUAAAUUCACACAGCAUGUUUCAAGUGACUUUUUCGAUAAUAUGUUAAAUAACAUUAUUUUAAUAAUUUAAAUAUUCAAUCUUUAUUAAUUUAUUAUUGUAUUAAAUUAAAGAUUAAAUUAUUAAGUUCAUAUUGUAUGACAAUUUUUCUUUAUCAAAUUCAGAAUAUUUUAAGGUUUUAACAAUGAUAUAUUAUCAAAAAAGUUACUUGAAACAUGCGGCAUAAAUUUUUGUAAAAUAGAAAAAACUAAACUUAGUACUAGAAAAUGCAGAGAGACCAAUGUUUGAAGAAAUUUUUUAUAAGUAUUAAUAAUGAAAAUUCUUAUAUUACAAAAGUAAAAAUGACGUUCAAUUUAUAAAAUAAAGUUUAUUUACUAAAAUGACGCUCAUUUUAAAACUUAUGUAAAGGAUGUAAUUCAAUCGAUACAAAACUUCAACCCAUUUUCCACAAAUAAUUAUAGAAAAACAAUGACAUGCUGCCUUAUCAAAAAUAAAAAUUAUGUAUAAAAAAUUGUGUCUAUUUAUUUUUUUAAAAUUAAAAUUAAUUUUCAAAACUUACGGAGUACUUGUUAUUGCUGAGAUCCAUAGUGUAACACCCCGUUACCCAAAAGUAAUUAAAUAAUAAUUAAUUCAACAUCAGAGUAAAACCCAACGGGCAUGUCACACUACAUUUUCAAAUUUUUCUUAAAUAGAAUAUAAAACUAUUUAAUAAACAUCCAAUGAAAUCAUCAUUUAAUUAGCAGCGGAAUAUUAUCAUCAAAACAUCAACAACUGUUUAAACCUCCAAAAUAAUAUCUUGGCAUAAAGCCUUAAGAACAUAAUUCAACCAACAUAGGGCCACAACAUCAAGUUCCAAAAUAAGAUACAUAGGAAAGAAAAACAAUAAUAAUUCUCAUCCCACGUAUCAGAGCCCUAGACACGACACUUGAGCCACCACCAACUACUCAGGAUCACCUGCAAGUUACCCAUAGGAAGGGCAACAUUUUCAAGCAGAAGGGGUGAGAUUCACAACAAUAAGAUAUAGAUAUUAAAAUUCGUCAAUUGAAUCUAACACCCUAAAUAUAAUCAGUUCAUCAUCUUAUAUGCAUAUGUAUAUAUACUUCAUAAAACAACAUCAUCAUCAUCAAAUCAAUCAUCAUCAUAUAGGUAUAAAUAUAUACUUCAUCAAACAACAUCAUCAUCGUCAAUAUGGCAACUAAAACCAACAACACCGACUCAUGCAAAUGACAUGACAACACCGCUAAGACAACACCCUAGACUCCUCAAUAAAUGCAAAUAUGCAUGUGGUACCAUAAUCAGGGCCGUGACCCACACCGUUGUCGAAUGGUUAAAGCAUUCUCAUCAGGACCUAAGUCCUCACCGCUCAACACCGCUUUUGAACAACUAGUGUUCCACCACUUUGAACGACAAGGCGUUCCAGAGCCGAAGCUCUCCCACUUUGAUGUUAUGCAACUACCCAACCUGUGGAUAUCUACAUACAACUCAACAAAUGCAUAUAUAUAUGUAUAUGACUCAACUCUCCAUAACUCCACACUUGUAUGAUUUAAUGAAUGUAAACAUACAACACAGUCAUCAAUAGUUCAUCAUUAAUCAAUCCAACAAUCCAGAAAAAUGUACAAUUUAUCUUAAUCAUGCUCAUACAUCAAGCUCCAUUCAAAACGUUCAAACAGGAUUCAACAACUCAAGGAUAUUAGUAAUCAACAACAUCAAUUAUAUUAGCUUAGAUACAUUGAGAGGCUAUACCCUUAUAGACAACUUCCAUCCCUACCCCAAGGACCACUCAUGAACUCAUUAGACCCUUAUACAACGUUAUAUCUUUCCUAAAAACAUCUCUAUACGUUUAGGAUAAAGUCCCUACACUUAGGAAGAAGUUUGGAAGCAUUUGGAGUGAAGAAAAUUGCAUUUUAGGGUUUAUGGUAAGACAGCAUCAGUCAUACUAAAAUUACAGAUUUUCUGUCAAAAUUGCCUCAUGAUCACUAGAAUCGCCUCAUGAUCUCGACAGUAUCAGACAUACUAAAAUUACAGAUUUUUCUGUCAAAAUCGCCUCAUGAUUUCUAGAAUCGCCUCAUGAUUUCGACAGUAUCAGACAUCCUAAAAUUACACAUUUUCUACGAUUUUCUACCAUGGGAACCUCCUUGGCUCCAUCUCUUAACCCUAAACUCUCCAAAAUCAUCCAUAAACAUCACCAUAUGAUUACCCUAUCAUUAAAACGUUAACCCAUCACUAACCUACCUGAUUAACCACUCUUUCCACCAUUCAAUUCUAUGGUUUCUACACUUUUUCAUUCAAAACCAAUAAUCAAAACCUAAUCCCAAAUUUCUCAAUUUCUACCAGAAACAUGUUAAAUCAAAAUCAGAAUUACAAUCUAUACUAUUGAAAGUAAAUCUCACCCUUACCUUAGUUCAGAAAAUCGCACGACACACGGUUGAUCUUGGUUCUACUUGUUCUUCUCUCCCCUUGUUCUUGGUUUUCUCUCCCAAAACUUGUUUCACGUAAAACUGCUUCUGACCUUUUCUUUUCCUAACUCCCAAACUAUAACUCCCCUUUUAUUUCAUUAACUCCCCUUAAUUCUAUUAAAUCCUAAUUAACUCCCUAAUUUCUAAAAUAAUAAUAAUUCCCACUAAUUUUAAUUAUUAUUUUAUUAAACCAUAUAUUAAAAUGUACACACCAUAUAAAUCACCAAAAAUCAUAUAUGAGACUCCAAAUAAUUCAAAAUAAAAUAAAUAACAACUAGGGCGUUACACAUAGCAUGAUGCAAACUUAGUGCCUGUUUGGUUCAGCUUAUUCCAAGACCCGAAGCAAUUCUAGAGCCUCAAAAUUGAAAAAGGCAAUUUCUCACAUGUUUGGUUCAGCUUUACAAAAGCAAUUCUCUUCUGUAAAAACAAUUCUGGCUGAAGCUACAAUUCCUAACUUUUGAGUUAACUAGAAUCAAUUCUCCAUUAAAUUUUAUAUUUUGAUUAUUAUUACCCAUUAUUUCCUUUAUUGUCCUUUAUCAAUUCUCCUUCUUUUUGGUUUGUAUUUAAUUUAAUGUACCACGUUUAAUAAAAAAAUAUAACGAACCAAAUUAGCCCCAAAAAAUAUUCACGGUCAACAGUUACCAAGUUUUGGAUUUUUCUUUACAAUUUUUUCGUUCAGAAUUAUAUUUUUUCUUUUACGCUAUACUUAUCGUUUUUGGGAACCAGCUCCAUUAUUAUUUAACUUAAAUAUAUUUUAUAAAAAAAUAUAAAAUAUAUAGAACAAAUAUUUUGUCAAUUUUUUUUUGGUUUAAUGACCGUAUUUAUUAUUUUUUAAAUUAAUAUAUAGAAGAAAUUUAUUUAUUUAAAUUAAAUAAUAUAUCUACAUUUAAUGUUGAUCUACACGUACAUUCAACUAUAUCCAUCUAUUUGUAUUUAGCAAUGUCCAUUUAAUAUAUCUACAUUUAAUGUUGAUCUACACAUACAUUCAACUAUAUCCAUCUAUUUGUAUUUAGCAAUGUUCAUUUUAGUAAUUAUACAUUCAAAAACAAUUUUGAUCGAAACUAUCCAAACAACAUUUAUUCUCUUUAAUCAAUUCUACAUUAUUAUAUCCAAACAUAAAUCAAUUCUUUCAAAAUCAAUUAUGUCAGAAUCAAUUCUCCUAGAAUCAAUUCUAUCCAAAACUGAACCAAACACACAUUUAGUUAUAUACACCGGUUAGUUCACCUAUAGGUACAACAUAAGUCAGACUAAAUUUUGCAACAAAAAAAAUAAUAAAAAAAAGUCAGAGUGGACGUCAUUGUGGUUCAAAAAGUAAAAGAAUUGGUUUUGUUAUUAAGAGAUUAGCGGUGCAUUUGUUUAAAAACACAAAAUAAAUUACAUUUGUGAUUUCGUUUUCUCUGAACGAUCCUGUUUGUUUUGAUUUUCCAUUUUUGUGCGGUGUGUUUUUAAUUUCCUGUCUUAGUGCGGUGUUUAUUUGAUUCAGGUUGAAAAAUUAGCUUUGAACAAGUGCAGAUCUGAUCAAUGACAAUGACUUUGGCGUCAUCAACGUUGCAGAUCCGAAGACAUGAGUAUUCCGAAGACAUGAAUAUAGUCAUAUUAGUCAUAUUUGUAAGCACAUGUACUUUGCCGUUUUAUGAUAUUAACAUGGAUGAUGUGAGUUUGUUCAUCGAUUCAUCAUUUUUGUUUUUAGCGAAUUUAGAUUUGUAUUGUAUUGAUGUACUCUAUCAAUUUGAAUGAAUGAAUAUCGUUUAUUUUUGUCAAAAAAAAUAAAAAAAAUACAUUCGUACACAUGUUAAUGUUAUUAUUCUGUUAAAAAAAACAUAUUCGAUGUCCACAAGUCUUAGCUCAACUGAAAAAAUGCCGAAAUUAUUAGGCCGGAUGUAAUUAUGACCGGGGUUCGAACCCCGGUACCUCCACUUAUGUGUGUGUGUGAAUUUAUAAUGGUUUUGCCAUUUUAUCUAUCUACAAAAAAUAAAAAUAUUCGAUGGCAAAAUUGUUAGUGGUCAAGUGGUAAAAGUUUUAAGGUGGUGUCAUAUGCAACCCGAUUCCAUUAUUUGCAAACUUUUUUUUUACCAAAAAAAAUAAAAUAUAUAUUCAAUGACAAGUUUUAACAUUUUUUGUCCUUCUCUUUUCCUUCUCAAACCUUAGCCUUUUCCACUUUUUAUCUAUUAAAAAUGUAUGAUUUAUGAUCAAUUUUGAUCGAAAAUCACCCCACUACGUUGUUUUUCUUUUAGUUAAAUAAAUGAUUUUCAUCUACUCUUGGUCUUUAUUUGUCUGUUUUGUGUUUUCGUCGUCUUAGUACGACUCUUUUUGUUUUGAUUUUCCGUCUUUGUGCAACAUAGUUUUUAUCUCAUGUUUGCGGUGUUUAUUCGAUUUCAUGUUGAAAAAUUAGUUUUGAUUAAGUGCAAAUUCAAUCAAUGACUUUGAUAUCAUCAAAAUUGCAGAUCCGAAGACAUGAGUAUUUUAUAUAUUUGAAUAUCAUUGUUUUUUUAGAAAUUAAAUAUUUGAAAAAAUUUGUUUUAUGUUAUCAACAUGAAUGCUGCGACCUUUUUUUUUGCAAAUUUAUCUUUUUUUAUUUUUAGCUACUUUAAGUUUGUAUUAUAUUAAUAUACUCUAUCAAUUUAAACGGAUGACUAUGAUCAUUUUUGUAAAAAUAAAAUAAAAUAAAAAAAGUGCAUACAUGACACAUACACGCGCAUACGCCAUUGACCGGAUUGUGCAAAAAACCAACUUGACAUCUUUUCAUUUCACACCUCUUCUUUCAAUAAUAUAUAAAUUUGCAUCAACACUCCUAGCUUCUUUAAAUCAACACUUCACUCUACUUGUCUUUGUUCCUAUCUUUUGCAUUAGCAACAUUAUUACCAAUCAAAAAAUGGACAAGGAACUUCAGCUUUGUUCUGUUGAUGCUGCUAAUGAAGAAGAAAUGGUUUCUCAACAACCACAAAGACGCAAGGGUGGUCUUAUCACCAUGCCUUUUAUAAUUGGUAUCUUAUCUAUGACUUGCAUGCAUUUUUACUUUGAAUGAGCUUGAAUUUUGAUGUAUAUAUAAUAUGGUUUUGUUGUGAUUAUUUUGAUUGAAGGGAAUGAGGCACUUGCUAGGAUGGCAAGUUUGGGACUAUUACCAAACAUGAUAUUGUAUUUGAUGGGAUCAUACAGACUUCACCUUGGCAUAUCUACUCAGAUACUUCUUUUAUCCUCUGCAGCUAGCAAUUUCACACCUGUGAUUGGUGCUUUUAUUGCAGAUUCUUUUCUGGGUCGAUUCCUAGGUGUUGGAAUAGGUUCUUCUAUCAGUUUCCUGGUAUGAUUUACUCUUUUUUUGACUUGAAUAUGCCUAUUAUUAAGUUUAAUUUUGGGAUGAAUUGUAUAGAUUUGAAUGCCGAUUUUGAACGUAAGAAACAAAAGAAAAAAACACAUUUAUUAAGAAAGUAAAAUAAUUGCGUUUAAGUCAUUAUAUACAUUUACCGACGUCCAGAACCAUUCAUUUCCAUCUCUUGAGACUGUCAAGGUAUAGGACUAAGCUUCUUUCCAUGAGACAGCGUUCAACUUAAGAAGCCAACGUUUUGUAGAUUUGGGUGUAUUGAAGAUUAUAAAAUUUGAACCAUGGUAGUGCAUGGGCAGUGGCCCCCUCUAUAAAGUGUGGCAUAUUAUUCCAUUUAUCAAUAGGACUUUAUAUUAGUAUUAGAUUCAUAAACGGCCAAAAGAAUUCAGACAUAGGAUAUUUUUUUAAGGAUUGAGACAUAUGAUUUUAAGACAAACAUAAAAGUUUCUCCAAAAAUUCUAGCUAGCUAGCGUUCUCCACGUGAACCUCGAGGCUUGAGUUGAUGAUACACAGGCCAAGAAAGUGACGUCUACAAACUGUAGUGCUCCAAGUAGAGAUACAAGCAACUAUAAGAUUCGUUGAUUAUUCCUUAAAAUAUUUUGUGUGGCCAAGUCGGUAGUGUUCCCUAAAAAAAAAAAGAGGUGGGUAUAGUGUUUUUUCAUUCAAUGAAUGUGGAUUAUGAUAUUCAAGAAAUAUGAGUGCGUAGAACGGGUUAUUUCAUACAUACUUUGGUGGCGAUAAUGAGUAAUUGGUAUUAUAUCAUGAUCAUUAUAAAUAAAAUAAAAUAAAAAUUAACAGCAUAGGUGCAAGUGCAACUCAACAUCAAACCAUGUGGAGGUUUGUUCAAAAAAAUCAAACCAUGUGGAGGUGGCAUUUAAAGGUGAGAAAGUAUAAGACUUUCUUAUGAUAGAAAAUUGAAUCAUCAAUUUCGUCUUUGAUUGUACGAAUCGGCCAAAUUUAUCACACAGUUACACGAAAUAUCAAACUAAUUCCCAUAAAAAAUAAUGAAUAAUUGGUAUUAUAUCAUGAUUACUAUAAAUAAAAUAAAAUAAAAAUUGACAGCAUAGGUGCAAGUGCAACUCAACAUCAAACUGUGUGGAGGUGGCGUUUAACGUGAGAAAGUCUUAUGAAGGAAAAAGUCAACUUUUUUAUUAACGCAUGUUGAUUGCAAUAGUUAAAUAUUUCAAAUUUUUGUUUAAAUUUUUAAAAAAGUUUUGUUCCACUUUUUGUCUUUUAAAAGUAUUUAAUUAGCACAUUUGAUCUCUACUUUUAAGUCAGUUAAGGUGUACCAAUCAAAUUUUUGGAUGAGAUUUUGCAAUAAUGUUUAGAAUAUUAUAAGAUUUAAAAAAAAAUAGAAUUCUUGAACAAAAUAUGAAGUUUUAAAUGUCAUAAACAUAAAAAUUCAUAUUCAAUUCAUGUUUUUCUUACUUAUUUAAUUCAUAUUUUAUUAAAAAAAUUCUGAAAGAUUUUUAUAAUAUUCUAAAGAUGACUCUAAAUUAAAAAAAAUAAAAAAUCGAAUGAUACACAUGAGUGACCAAACAUUUACAAACUUAAAAGACUUAUGUGUGACCAAAAUAAAUUAAAGGAUCAAUAUGUUACAAACCUCAAACUUAAAGGACCCAUUGUAUAAUUUAACCUAAAAUUUAAAAAGGAGAGAAUAAAGAGAAAUAAGGUAAUUUUAUCGAUAAAAACGACAAUUAUUAAGAAAAUGAUUAACUGUGUUGAUUUCAAUAGUAAAAUUAGUAUCAUUUAUUAAAAUACACCUAUUAAUUUUUAGUGGAGUAAUUAAGUUGGAUAAAAUUCAAUAAACAAGGGUAUAAUAGUGAAAAUAAAUAAAUACUACAUUGAUAUCCUUAAAUGUCAAUUAUUUUAGAACAAAUGAAAAAAGCUAAAAAAGACAAUUAUUUUGAGACGAAGAUGGUAAAAUAACAUAGGGGUAUUGUGGGGUCUCAAAUUGCAUGCAUACCUCUUUAAUCUCAAUCAACCAUUAAAUAAAUUAAAGAAGAGUUUUUCUAACCUAUGCAACAUUGCAUAGGAUAAAGUGCAUCGCUAUCUUUAACAUAAACUAUCAUAUUUAUUAUCCUUUAUUUGAAAAAUUACAAUUUCCUCUAUCCUAUUAAUCAUUUUAUUUUUUAUUUUUUUUAUCACUUCAUACUAAAAAAAAGUCUACUUAUAUGCAUGAAAAAAAAAUGCAAAUGGAACGUCAUUGUAACAAACAAAAUGAAACUAAAUGGAAAGAAAUUAUAUGAGCACAAAAGAAGAAAAUUGUUACAUACUAAGACUUUAAUUUUAUAAUGACUUCUUUUUGGAGUUAUAUAUUAACGCAGAAGAAAAAAAAAUUUACAUAUACUUUCACACAGUUUUUCAUAUGGAACCACCAUAUCCUUGAAGAAAAAAAAUUAAAGCAGAUGAAGAAAAUUGUGUUACAGAUGAAUGAGUUUGGUCACCUUAUAUAGAGAAUUCUGUUCCAAUUUUGUUGUUACAAAUGGUCAAAUGCCGUUCCAUGCAUGAUUUUUGUUUUUGUUAAAAAUAAAAAAUAGAAUAAUUAAUGUUAGAGAAAAUUAUCAUUUUUCAAGAAAAAUAUAAUCAAUAUGAUAAUUUAUGUUGGAAAUAGUGGAACAUUUAUUGCACCUUAUCCUAUGCAAUAUUGCAUAGGUUAGAAAAACCCAUUAAAGAAAAUGUUAAUUACUAUCCAGAUACUAUCAGUUAAGAAAGCAAAUACUACAUUCGUUCCUAAUUAUAAGAUCCUUUUAGGAAAAAAUUCGUCCCUUUUUAUAAGACCCCUUUGAUAUUUUCAAGUACAUUAAUUUUUUUUUUUACCAACAUACCCUUAUUUAUUUUACAUCUUUUUCUUCAAUCAACAAUAAAUAUUAUGUUGAAAACAUAAAUUAACCUCUCUCUCUCUUAAGGAUAAAAUUGUAAAAACAAUAGUAAUCAUGUACAAAUUUAAUACUACAACCAAUUUUCUUAAUCUUCGUGUUUUUUGCAAAAGACUCCUAUAAUUAGGGACGGAGGUAGUAUAAUAGAAUUGUAUUGAAAAUUGUGUAGUCGAUACUUCAAAAUCUUAAAUAAUACUACAUCCGUUUCUAAUUAUAAGACCCUUUUGAGAAUUUUUUUGUACAUUUUUAUAAGACCCCUUUUCUAUUUCCAACUACAUUAAUUAUUUCUUUACAUAUAUGCCCCUAUUUAUUAUACAUCUUUUUCUUCAAUCAGCAAUAAAUAGAAUGUUGAAAACAUAAGCCAACCCUCUUUCUUAAAGGAUAAAAUUGUAAAAACAAUAGUAAUUAAUACAAAUAUCCACUAUCUUAAUUCCCGUUAUUUUUUCAAAAGGGCCUUAUAAUUAGGGACUGAAGUAAUAUCAUUUUCAAUUAAAAACUUUGUUUUUUUGUUGACUUUUUUAACUCAUGCUCCGAAGGCACUAAUUAACAUAAUCCAUAAAUUAAUCAAUAGUAUAUCCUCCGCUCACUGAUAUAAGUAAAAAUCAACAUUUUAGAUUCAUUCAUUAAAUGAUGUGUAUGACCUACAAUAAAAACCAUAUACAUCAUUAAUUGAAUAAAUCUAAAAUGAAGAUUUUUACUUAUAAUAUUGAUAAGAGGAUGUACAUAAUCUUGGAUAGAUGAGCUACACUAUAUCAUAAAGAAAGUUUUUAACUUUAUCAUCCAAAAUGCCACCCCCACGUUGAGUCUGGCUUUAAUACAUUUUUUUAAUUUAUUAUUUCUUUUCUUAUUACUUUAUGUCUCAAGAUCCAUUAAUUAUUGAUCUACUACUUCCUUCGGUCUUGAAAGUAAGGAAAAAAAAAACAAAUUUAUUAAGAAAGUAGUCAAUUCACAUUGAAAAUGACAUUUUUUAAAUAAAUAUAGUAGUAUUAUAUUGAAAAAUGUUUAGUUAAUUUAUCAAAAGUUUAAAAAGUGUCAUUUUAUUUAAAUUUUUGAUGAAUUGACUACACAUUUUCCAAUAUAAUACUACUAUAUUUGAUUUUUUAACAAAUCUCAUAGAGACACUUUUUAGCAGAACUCUUAAACUAUAACCAUAUACCAACAUAAGCUUUUAGCAAUGGCCACAAAAUUAGUAGGUAUAGACAAUAUAUACCUACAGGCACCAAACAAGCCGUGGGUAUAGGUAUAGACGUUUAUACAGCAGGAAAAUAAAAAGAUAAGCAAGUAUAUGAACAAUGAUAUACAAUGUAUUGAUUUAUCAAAAAUAAAUUAGGAAUACCUCAAUCCAUGACCAAAAGCCUCUUGGCAACACUGAUUUGAAACAUAAAGAGAGACACGUAACUAGUAACCCUUCGUUUAUGAUUCUUCCUCAACUAGGACUCAUAUGCCUUAGGCAGGACAAUAUACGGUGUGUCCGAUAUAUUGAAGAUAAUAGCAUAUUGAAUUCAUACAAAUUAAUUAUUAUAGUAAUUAAAUAAAAUAUUCAUCAGAUAUAUUCCAAUGUAUGAAAAAGAAGCAUACAAAGGAAGUAUGUUCCGCCACUUGGUAUAUUCAAUUAAAUUCAGAAAUUAUUGGUAUAAUAAAGCCUCUUUUUUGUUUGUUGUUAUAGGGAAUGUCACUGCUGUGGUUAACAGCCAUGAUCCCGUCGGCACGGCCUCCUGCUUGCAACCAUCCAUCUGAAGGUUGUGAAUCAGCAACACCAGGUCAAUUGGCAAUGUUAUUCUCUGCCCUAAUUCUGAUAGCAAUUGGAAAUGGUGGUAUUUCAUGUUCUUUAGCAUUUGGUGCAGACCAAGUUAAUAGAAAAGAUAACCCUAAUAACCGCAGGGUUUUGGAAAUAUUCUUCAGUUGGUAUUAUGCUUUCACAACUAUAGCUGUCAUAAUAGCUCUCACUGGAAUAGUAUAUAUCCAAGAUCAUCUUGGUUGGAAAGUUGGUUUUGGUGUUCCAGCAAUACUCAUGCUUAUAUCCACUGUCUUAUUCUUUCUUGCUUCUCCUCUUUAUGUGAAAAUUAAACAAAAAACCAGCUUAUUCACUGGUUUUGCACAAGUAUCUGUUGCUGCCUACAAGAACAGAAAACUUCCAUUGCCACCUAAAACCUCUCCUGAAUUUUACCAUCAACAAAAAGACUCAGAACUCGUUGUUCCAACUGAUAAACUAAGGUAUAUAGAAUCGAAUUACUAUACCAUCUUUUUAGCUUUUAUGGUUCGUGGUUAAUUAUGUUCAAUAGACUAAUAAUGAACUCUUCCUCCAAUCUCUAUUAUAAGAGAAAAUUCACAUUUAAAGUUCAUUCAAUAAACGAUGUAUGUAAUUUCUUAUAUAGAUCAUACAAAUCAUUUACUGAAUAAAUCUAAAAAGUGAAUUUUCUCUUAUAAUAUUGACUGGAAUAAUAUAUACCAGGUGUCGAAAUUUAUUAAUCAUCAAAAUAACUUCAUUAACCACAAAUUUGAAUGUGAUUAAGGAAAAUUUUCAAAGGUUCAAUAAAGUUACAUUGCUAGUUAUUGAGUUUCAACACAUGGUUUAUUCAUUCACCAUCUAUAAAUUGAGCAUAAUUAACCACUAAUUUGUACCAUGUUAAUGUUUAUGGUGUUGUUGCGAAAAUUGCCUAAACUUUGUUACACAAAAACCAUUUCCCAUAUUAAACAUUUGAUUUCAUUUUCAGGUUUCUAAAUAAAGCUUGUGUUAUUAAGGAUCAUGAACAAGAUAUAGCCUCAGAUGGUUCAGCGAUAAAUCGUUGGAGUCUAUGCACAGUAGAUCAAGUUGAAGAACUAAAAGCCAUUAUUAAAGUUAUUCCAUUGUGGUCAACAGCGAUCACAAUGUCUAUUAACAUUGGAGGCUCAUUUGGAUUGCUGCAAGCUAAAUCCUUAGACAGACAUAUCAUUUCAAGUUCAAACUUUGAAGUACCAGCAGGAUCUUUUUCUGUUAUCUUGAUAGUUGCAAUAUUAAUAUGGAUAAUUAUCUAUGAUCGUGUUCUUAUUCCUUUAGCAUCAAAGAUAAGAGGGAAGCCCGUAAUUAUCAGCCCAAAGAAAAGAAUGGGAAUUGGGUUGUUUUUUAAUUUUCUUCACUUGAUAACUGCAGCAAUUUUUGAGACUGUAAGGAGAAAGGAAGCAAUCAAAGAAGGAUAUUUGAAUGAUACUCAUGGAGUGUUGAAAAUGUCUGCAAUGUGGCUUGCACCUCAACUUUGUUUGGCUGGUAUAGCAGAAAUGUUCAAUGUUAUUGGCCAGAAUGAGUUUUAUUACAAAGAGUUUCCAAAGAGUAUGUCUAGUGUUGCUGCUUCCCUUUCUGGAUUGGCAAUGGGUGUAGGAAACUUGGUAUCCUCUUUAGUAUUGAGCAUUAUAGAAAGCACUACUCCAAGUGGAGGAAAUGAAGGGUGGGUUUCUGAUAAUAUUAACAAAGGUCAUUUCGACAAGUAUUAUUGGGUUAUAGUUGGAAUUAAUGCUCUAAAUCUAUUGUAUUACUUAGUAUGCAGUUGGGCUUAUGGACCUACAGUUGAUGAAGUAUCCAAUGUGAGUAAAGAAAAUGGUUCCAAAGUGGAAGAAUCAACUGAAUUCAAGCAUAUGAAUCCACACUUUGAUGACAAGGUUAGUGGUGAAACUAGUUCAAAGGAGAAAGAGUUAACUGAAUUCAAGAAUGGGGCCCAGGUUGAGAAAGUAUUCAAGAAUAGUGAACAAAGGGACUUGAAGGAGGAAGAUUUGUGAUAGAAGGCUUAUAUUUCGUCCAAUUCAUUUGGAGAAAUGUUAUAAACGCUUUUUUUAACACUCCUAACACCUCAUCUUUUAUUUGAUGAAAUUCACGUGGGACUCAUCAUUGUAUGAGGGAUUCAUUUUUAAAGCGUGGGAUCAACAUGUGUUUCAUCCAAUAAUAAAAUGGUGUUAGAGAGUGUUAGAAGAAUGUGUCCAUAACACUUCUCAUUCAUGAAUCUUUUUUAGGAAUUUUAGUUAGCAUAUUUUUUAUUUUAUUUUGGUAUAUUGUUAGUUAUUUUUGAAUUCUUAGGUUCUAAGAUUUUCUUAUGGGCUUUAAGAUUAUGACACAUGGAUGUGAUCAUUUAUUUAGAUUAGUAAGUAUUGUUAAUAAAUUUGAUUUGAUAUCUUUAUCAAUAUAGCAUUUGAUAUUAUAUAUAUAUAUAUAUAUAUAUAUAUAUAUUAUUCUGUCACUUACACCUAAUUAGAAAGAAUAAUAAUGAAUACUCCAUUGUCUAAUUUAUUUAAUAUAUUUUAGGAAAGUAAAUUAUUUACAACAAGGGAUGAAAUCAAUUCUUAAUUAACUUGUCAAAAAAAUCAAUUCUUAAUUAACAUCUUCAAAUUGAUGUGGUUGGUAAAUAAGCAUCAAUUUGCUAACAAGAAAUUGAUAACACCGGUGUCAAUAACCACCUUGCUAUUAAGUAGUCAUCAUGAGUGUCACGUUGAUUGACAAACGACUUUAAUAUGAUUGGUGCAUGCGUUCAAGAAAGAAAAGACUUUCAACAACUUGGAUGAACACUUGUGUUGUUGACUUAAAGAGAUAUCGGCCAUGUUUGAGGAAAUUCAAGUUCAACCAAAAGACCUUGAAAACAAAUUAUUUGCGAACAAGCAGCAAACAUGGCACGUUUACUCAUAUUCAGUAGAAGGUUUAGAGUCUCUUGCUUUUUACUUGUCAAUGAUAUCAAAGAAGAUCCAAGAAACAUGCACAACCCAGUGACACAUUGUUGAAUGUCAGAACACCCUCCCAGAUUAGCAUCAAGUAAGCACUCUGUUUAAGAGUUAUCCAAGUGGGAAAGAAUAUUCCACACUGAGUGGUUACUUAAAGUAGCAAAUUAUACGACGGACCAUUGUCAAAUGAAGAUGAAGAGGAAUGAUGUCAGUCUGUCAUAUUAUGUGUUUAGCAGUUAUUAGGAGUCACUUCACAAUUAUUUUAACAAGUUUAGUUGAGUUUUGUAACAAAUCAAAAGAAAGAUCAUGGAAAGGGUAAUGGUGCAUACAAAACUUUGGAACCAUGGCAAAUCACCCAAAAUAGACAACUAUGUGAUCAUGCUAUACUUUUUACUUGAUGUAUCAAAUGAUCCUUAAGGAUAUAGUCACUAUGGACGCUUUGGUGAGGAAAAAUGGAUAAAGGAAUGAAGAAAAAUAGAGGAACCGACUACUAGUACAUGCAUGAUGCGUGCUAUAAGCUGCGCGAUGCACAACUUAGGAGAAAUAAAAAAUAUUUAGUCAUUGGUACAUGUGUGAUUCAUGCUAAAAGUUGUGUGUUCUGCAACUGAAAUGAAAUCAGAAGUGUUUUGCCACUAGAGAUGCGUGAUGCACAUAAGGUUAUGUGUGUUGCGCACAUACAUUUCCGUAAAUCAAGUGACACAUGAUGAUGAUGAUAGGGAUUUGUAUUCACCUAACCCUGGCUAAUCGAUUAAUAUAUUUGUCGAUCACCUUAGUUUGUUGAUGAAUUCUCUUGCGUUGAUCUACCAAGCAUUCUUCUAUGCUAGAGGCAUGAGGCAUCUCCUACUCACAAACAUCCACAUUUUUUAAUAAAAUCAAAUACAUAAUUUUUUUUUUUUGGCAAAUCAAAUACUUGUUUUUUCCACAAGGCUAAAAUAAAACCAUGAAAAAAAAAUGAACAAAAAGAGAGCUACUCUCUCAAAAAGAAAAUUCCAUCUGCAUCACUUUGGAGGAGAUUCUGGAGGUUUACCGGAGAACACUCAUGUCGAAGAAACUCGACAUCAAAAGAGGCACUAGGCUUGGCAAAAAAAAUCCGCACAUUGAUUCCCAUCCCUAAGGGUGUGAUUGACCAUAACAUUUCCCCUGCUCCAAUAACUAUUUUAUGUCUUGGAUUAAAACGGCAUAAACAUGAAACCUCAUUGGGGGACCAUGGAGGAUGUUGAGACAAUGUAAAGAGUCAGAGUAACAAACAAAAUCAGUAAUGCCUAUUUCUUUGGCCAACAAGAGACCCUUAUAUAUGACAUAUGUAACGCCCUAUUUAUUCAUUUAAAUAUUUUGGUUGAUUUUGGUUGAUUUAAAGUCUUUUAUAUGACUUAUAUGAAUUAUGUUGAUUUUGUGGUGUGUUGUAUUUUAUUAAAUGUUAUAUUUUAUUAUUUAUUAGAAUAUGUGAGAAUUAGAAAUAAUGGGAGUUAAGUUAAGGAGUUAAGAAAUUGAGAAGUCAGAAAAACAUUUCACGUGAAAACAAGUUUUUGGGGGAGAAAAAGGGAGAAGAGCCAAGUGAAGAAUCGGAGAGAUCGUAGAGCUUCGUUUGUCAGAAUUAAUGUAAGGGUGAUACUAACUUUCAAUAAUUAUAGUGUAUGUAAAUUCUGAAAUUGAUUUAACAUGAUGGUUGUUCUUGGUUUUGGGAAUUAGGUUUUCCAUUGUUGAAUUUGAUUAGAAAAGUGUAGAAACCAUGGCAAUUGUGUUAAGAAUUGAUGUUCAAGUUGUAGAAUAAUCAUAGGUUAAGUUUCCUAUCAAAUUUGGGUUCAUGAAAAUUGGGAUUUUCGCUUGAAAGGUCGGUGUCUAAACGUUUUUGCAAAUAAGUGAUUAUGUGAGGUUUGGGAAAAUGAUUCUUGGGAUGGUUGAGACUUGAAUUUGCUGUAGAUUAAGAUAGAGCCAAGUGUCAGAAGCGUGUAGGCGAAAACGACAUCAAAUUAACGGUUUGAAUUUUACGCGCGAAAUGGUGAAAAUCGCACUUUUUGAGAAGCAGAUUUCUGGACCUGAUGCUGUCAAAACGUAUCACGAUUUUGCGAGCGUGGUACGAUUUUGUUGGCCGAAAGUUCAAUGGUUAUAAGCAUAAAAACGUGGCACGAUUUUCUAAAAUCGUGACACGAUUUUUGUGAAUCAGAUCCUUCUUAUUUCACUAUUUUUCACCCCUUUCCGCUUUGAACUGGGUUUUGGUGUAAACAUAAAAGUUUUAGAUAAUUUUGUUAGCUUUCCAAUGACUUUGGUUUGACUUGAAAAUGAUUUUUGGUUUUUGAGAUAUGAUGAAAAUACUCCAAGGAGGUCUUAGUGAAAUCUUAUGAAAAUUCAGCAUAACCGUUCUAAGUUAAUCUAAAACUUAUGGAAUAAUUCGAAACCUCAAAACUAGAAGUACCAUGAGUUCAAUUAAGGUGUUUAAGAUUAUUUAACCUAUGUUGUGAUGGAUCUAAUUUGGUUUGACGUGAAUAUCUUUGUUGGAUGAUUUAAUAUCUAUAUGAAUGUAUAUGUUGAUGAAUUUCGUUGUUAAGAGUCGUCCUAUCACAGUUGACCAAGUUGUGUAGUAAGUCAUAAUUAUUUAUGUACAAUUGUUGUUGUCGUUGUCAUUGUCUACGUUGUCGUUGAUGUUGCUGAGUUGUAUGCUGAUAUACACAAAGUUGAGUCCAUUGCAUACUCAUAAAUUGUUGAGGGCUUAUGCCCUGUGAAUGCUAGUUUAUUCAAAAAUGUUGAGGGCUUAUGCCCUGUGAAUGCCUUGUCAUUCAACACGUUAAUUUUAAGUUGAGGGCUCAUGUCUUGUCAUUCAAACUGUUGAGGGCUCAUGCCCUGUGAAUGCUCGUUCAUUCAAAUGCGUUAAAAUGGUACCACAUGCAUGUGCAUUGUCGCAUUUGUCGUUGUGUCGUUGCAUAGUCGUUGUUGUUGGUUGAGUUUGUAGGUGUUGUUAAUGUUGAUGAAAUAUGAAACAAGACUGUUGAAUUAUCCGUUGUUAAUUAGGUUGUUAAAUACAGUUGAUGAUUUAUAUACCUAUUAUUAUUGUUUGUGAAUCUCACCCCUUCUGCUUCGAAAUGUUGCUAUUCGUAUGGGUAACUUGCAGGUGAUCGAGAAUUGUUGAUGUUAGAUGAUGUCGUGAGUGGACCUUCUCUCAUGUGUGUCUUAGGUGCUCUGAUACGUAACGGGAUGAGAAUUUGUUAUCGCUUUCUGUUCCUUACGUAUUGUUUUAAGGACAUGUUGUUGGAACAAUUUUAUGAGAUUUAUGUUGAAGCCUUGGUGCCAAGUUGUUUAAAAGUUGAAUAAUUUCCGUUGCGAUGAAAUAAAUGAUACGUUGUUGAAUUUAAAGGAUGAAUAGUUAUUUAUUCUGUUUAUGAUUUUAUGAAAGAAGUGUGACAUUCCGUUUAUGUUGAAAAUACUUUGAUUUAUAUGUGAUUAUAUGUGAAAUUUUUAAGUUGGGAAAACGAGGUGUUACAACAUAGAGCUCAACAUACAAGAUAUCAUUUGAAUUUUGAAUGUAUCUAGAAAAUCCUCACAAGAAAAAAGAUGCAUAAUUUCUUAAAAUUCCUCCAUAACCUACUCUUAUAGGAGAUCCAAUACAACUUCCAUCAACAUUAAGGAUGACACAAAAAUGAUUAUUGUUGUUCCGCUUGAUGAAUUGGUCUUCAUCAGUAGUACUAAAGAUGGAAGGAUAACAAGCUUAGAGGGUAUCAACCAUACCUUGAAUGUUGAAGGAUAAUUUAGCAUUCGACCAGUUCUCGUUACCUAAGCACAUCAUGUUUCGAUUCCUCCAUGCCCACCAAAUUGUUGCUGCAAAAAGGAAAUAGUAAGGGCCCAUCAACCCAUUCUUAUGUGGUUUGUAUGGGCCAUUUAUUCAACAUUUCACGUGCCCGUCUUUCCACUCUUUUUAUUUCGCUAAUAUUUAAAAAUUAUUAACAGUAUUUUUUUUUUUUAUGAAAUUUUGAUUUGGAUUAAAACUAAAAAUAUGAAUGUUUGUUGCUUUCAAGUUAUAAUAAACUAAACUAACCAUGAUUAUUUAUUUCAAUGACACCAACAAUACAACAACAAAAAAAUAUAAUCCAAAUUCUUUUUUUUUAAUGAAACCAACAACAAUCUUUAUUAAAGAAAAAGUUGUUUAAGAGUAUAAUUGAGAUAAUGAAAAAGUAAGUAUAAAUAUACUCAUCUAGUUUGUUACACUUUUUAAAUGAUAAAGAAAAAAAAACCAUAUAUAUAUAUAUAUAUAUAUAUAUAUAUAUAUAUUCAUAUCGUGUUUUUUACAUUUUUUUAAUAUUUAAAUUUAUUCUUAUCUUUUUGUUAUGUGUUAUUUGUAUUCAAAAUUGAGGGCAUUUUUGAAAGAAAAAGUCAGCCCAAAAGAGUUGAAAAAUGAUUGUUUUAUUUUUAUAUAGCAUAGAUAUAUUACUACUCCCUUCAUCCCUGUAUGUAAGCACCCUUUGCAUUUUUCACAUUUCUUAAGCAAAAAUUGUUAGUGCAAUUAAUGCGUCUAUUUUGUGUGUUAAUAUUACUUAAUUGUCCUUUGUUUAUAUGUGUAUUAAAAUUUACUUUUUAUAUUUCAAGAUAAGUUAGUAGUAUUAAUUAUGGGUAUGUUAAGGAAUAAAAUCAUAAAUGCAUCUAAUAAUUUAAAAAAGAAUUUAUAUUUAAAGACAAAUUUUUAGUCAAAAGAAUACAGGAACAUACCACCACCUAAAAAAAAUUCUCAAAAUUUAGUGCAGGCAACGGCCUACAGACUUAUGUACAUGCAUAUGUCCCUGGUCCCAACAACCUUUUUUUUUUAGGGGACCCUACAACCUGUUAUUAUACUCCUUAAAAGAAAACCUGUUAUUAUAUCAACCAAAUGAAUGUCAAUGUUUUUUUUUUUUUGGUAAUGAAAUGUCAAUGCUUUAUUUCCUUUUACUUUUAAAUUUUGGUUAAAAUAUAAUUUUAGUCCCUUCAAAUAUGUCUCGUUUUGGUUUUAGUCCCUAUAAAAAAAAAAUGUUUUUGGUCCCUGCAAAAUUUUUUGUUUUUGAAAAUAGUCCCUGACCUCACUUUUGUGAUGAUUUGCAUACGUGGCACAUUAUAACUGAACAAAUUUUGUAGUUUUUGGUCCCUGCAAAAUAUUUUGUUUUUAAAAAAGGUCCCUGCAAAAUAUUUUGGUUUUAAAAAAGGUCCCUGCAGGGACCAAAAACAAUUUUUUUUUACAGGGACUAAAACCAAAACGAGGCAUAUUUGCAAGGGCUAAAAUCAUAUUUUAGCCUUAAAUUUUUAUUUACGUUUUUUUUUAUGAGUCAAGAUAGUAAGGAAGACAUCGAGAAAAGUUAAAUAUCUCAACUAAGUUGACACUUUAAAGCUUCUCUCAUCUUGUACCACCUGUUCGAAAAUUUUAUUAAAAAAAGAAAAACUGUAUAAGAGAGGGACUAAGCCAAAACCCUCAAAAACAUAAAACAAGAAUGGUAAAACAUAGAUAUAAGGGAAAUGGAAAUUCGGAAGACCAUGUAUGUCCCUAAAAAAAAUCCUUCCAAAGAAAAAUAGGUAAAAAAAACCCACCAAACGACAUUGAUAAUAACAUGACCAUGACUACCAGUAUUUUAAGAUGACCGUGUAUGUUAAGAUGAAUUUGGAUGACUUUUGGUUGAUGAUAUUGGGGCUUAUGAAGGUACUUUAUGUGAUUACAAAGGUUUUUUUUUAGGAUGUUUUGCAUCUAAUCUAAGACCUAUAUUCAAUCAUUGAAGCGGAAUUGAACAACAUGCUAAUGUUAUUAUUCUGUUAAAAAAAAAAAAAUUCGUACACAAGUUUUAACAUUUUUUCCUCUCUUUUCUCCUUUUCAAACUUUAGCCGUCGCGGAUUUUUUUAUUUAUUGAAAAGUGGUGAUUUAUGGUUAAUUUUGAUGCAAAUCACCCCUCUACAUUGUUUUUCUUUCUUUUAGUUAAAUAAAUGAUUUCCACAUACAUACCCUCAGACUUCAUUAGUUUAUUUUGUGAUUUCGUCGUUUUAGCACGACUUUGUUUGUUUUGAUUUUCCGUCUUUGUGCAAUGUAUUUUUUAUUUCCUAUCUGUGGUGUUUAUACGAUUUCAUGUUAAAAGAUUAGUUUUGAUCAAGUGCAGAUUCAAUCAAUGACUUUGAUAUCGUCAACGUUGCACAUCCGAGCAUAUGAGAAUUCCAUAUACUUGAAUAUAUUCAUAUAUCUUUUAGGCAUUGAAUAUAGUCAUAUUUGUAGGCAUAUCCAUUUUGCCGUUUUAUGUUAUCAACAUGGAUGAUCCUUAAAAAAACAUGGACGAUGCGAUUUUGUUUGCAAAUUCGUCUUUUUUAAUUUUUAGCGACUUUGAGUUUGUAUUAUAAUGAUAUACUCUAUCAAUUUAAAUGAAUGAAUAUCACGUUUUUUUUGUAAAAAUCAAAUAAAAUAAAGAAAGUGCAUACAUUAACAUUACACAUACACGCGCACACGCUAGGGUAACACUUCAAUGCCUUUGGCUUUGGUGCCUUUGGGUGCCUUUGUUCCUAUAUCUCUUAAUCAUUCAUUCAUUCUCAUCUAAAUAAUUUAUUUUAAUUAUUUGUCCAACAUUCUUUCUCAUCUAAAGUGAGGUACUCAAAGACACCAAAACCAAAGGCCCUACCAUACACUAGUGACCGGAUUGUGAAAAAAACCAAAUUGACAUCUUUUCAUUUCACACCUCUUCUUUCAAUAACAUUUCCCUUUACCUAAUUAUAUUUUUUUUAGUAAAACCAGUCGCUUUUUGUGCCAAAAGAAAGAAAACAAAAAUGGUUUCUUCAAAUAAAAUACUAUAAUAAUUUGCAUCCAUAUUGCUAGCUAGUAGCUACUUUAAAUUAACACUUCACUCUACUUGUCUUUCUAUAUAUAUCUUUUUGCAUCAGGAACAUUAUUAGUUACCAAUAAAAAAAAUGGACAAGGAACUUCAACUUUGUUCUGUUGAUGCUGCUGAUGAAGAAGAAAUGGUUUCUCAGCAAAAACCACAAAGAAGCAAGGGUGGUCUUGUCACCAUGCCUUUUAUCAUUGGUAUCUUAUCUAAUAUCUAUGAUUUGCAUGCAUUUUUAUUUUAUUUUUACUUUGAAUGAGCUUGAAUUUUUACGUAUAAUAUGGUUUUGUUGCUGUUGUGAUUGUUUUAUUUGCAGGGAAUGAAGCACUUGCUAAGAUGGCAAGUGUGGGACUAUUACCCAACAUGAUAUUGUAUUUGAUGGGAUCAUACAGACUUCACCUUGGCAUAUCUACUCAGAUACUUCUUUUAUCCUCUGCAGCUAGCAAUUUCACACCUGUGAUUGGUGCUUUUAUUGCAGAUUCUUAUCUUGGUCGCUUCUUAGGUGUCGGAAUAGGUUCUUCUAUCAGUUUCCUGGUAUGAUUUACUUUUUUUUAAUUCCAUUGUGUUUUUCUUAUCUUUUGACUUGAAUAUGCCCAUUAUUAAGUUUAAUUUUGGGAGUGAGUUGAAUAGAUUUGAAUAAUUACUCAAUACAAAUUUUCAACUACGAAAAAUGACAAAAAAUGAAGUUUUAAGCUGAAAAUGACACUUUUUUAACUAAGGAAUUGACUACACAUCUUCCAUAUACCAACAGACGCUUUUAGCAACGGCCAUAAAAUUCAUACAGUAUACGGUGUGUCCGAUAUAUUGAAGAUCAUAGCCUACUUAUAUUGAAUUCAUUCAAAUUAAUUAAAUAUUUAAUUAAUUAUUAUAGUAAUUAAAUAAAAUAUUCAUCAGAUAUAUUUCCUUGUAUGAAAAAGAAGCAUACAAAGGAAAAAUGUUCCACCAAACUUGGUAUAAUGAGAAAAUUUUGUAAUGAUGCUCUUUUUUGUUUGUUGUUAUAGGGAAUGUCACUGUUGUGGUUAACAGCCAUGAUCCCGGCGGCACGGCCUUCUGCUUGCAACCAUCCAUCUGAAGGUUGUGAAUCAGCAACACCAGGUCAAUUGGCAAUGUUAUUCUCUGCCUUAAUUCUGAUAGCAAUUGGAAAUGGUGGUAUUACAUGUUCUUUAGCAUUUGGUGCAGACCAAGUUAAUAGAAAAGAUAAUCCCAAUAACUAUAGGGUUUUGGAAAUAUUCUUCAGUUGGUAUUAUGCUUUCAUAACUAUAGCUGUCAUAAUAGCUCUCACCGGAAUAGUAUAUAUCCAAGAUCAUCUUGGUUGGAGAAUUGGUUUUGGUGUUCCAGCAGCACUCAUGCUUAUAUCCACUGUCUUGUUCUUUCUUGCUUCUCCACUUUAUGUGAAAAUUACACAAAGAACCAGCUUGCUCACUGGUUUUGCACAAGUAUCUGUUGCUGCCUAUAAAAACAGAAAACUUUCAUUGCCACCUAAAACAUCUCCUGAAUUUUACCAUCACAAGAAAGACUCAGACCUUGUUAUUCCAACUGAUAAACUAAGGUAUAUAGAAUCAAAUUACUAGCUAUACCAUCUUUUUAGCUUUUGUGUUUCGUGGUUAAAUAUAGACUAAUGAUGAAUACUUCCUCCAAUCUCUAUUAUAAGAGAAAAUUCACUUUUAAAGUUCAUUCAAUAAAUGAUGUAUAUGUAGUUUCUAAUAUACUCCCUCCGCUCUUAUUUAUAAGAAACAAUUGAUUUUUUUGAUUCAUUGAAUAAAUUAUGUAUUUGGUCUAUAUUUAGACAAGAUACAUCAAUUACUCAGUAAAUCUAAAAAGUCAAAAAUUUCUUAUAAAUAGGACCGGAGGGAGUAGACCAUAUAAAUCAUUUAUUGAAUGAAUCUAAAAAGUGAAUUUUCUCUUAUAAUAGAGACCAGAAUAGUAUAUAUCAGGUGUUGAAAUUUAUUAAUCAUCAAAAUAACUUCAUUAACCACAAAUUUGAAUGUGAUUAAGGAAAAUUUUCAAAGGUUCAAUAAAGUUACAUUGCUAGUUAUUGAGUUUCAACACAUGGUUUAUUCAUUCACCAUCUAUAAAUUGAGCAUAAUUAACCACUAAUUUGUACCAUGUUAAUGUUUAUGGUGUUGUUGCGAAAAUUGCCUAAACUUUGUUACACAAAAACCAUUUCCCAUAUUAAACAUUUGAUUUCAUUUUCAGGUUUCUAAAUAAAGCUUGUGUUAUUAAGGAUCAUGAACAAGAUAUAGCCUCAGAUGGUUCAGCGAUAAAUCGUUGGAGUCUAUGCACAGUAGAUCAAGUUGAAGAACUAAAAGCCAUUAUUAAAGUUAUUCCAUUGUGGUCAACAGCGAUCACAAUGUCUAUUAACAUUGGAGGCUCAUUUGGAUUGCUGCAAGCUAAAUCCUUAGACAGACAUAUCAUUUCAAGUUCAAACUUUGAAGUACCAGCAGGAUCUUUUUCUGUUAUCUUGAUAGUUGCAAUAUUAAUAUGGAUAAUUAUCUAUGAUCGUGUUCUUAUUCCUUUAGCAUCAAAGAUAAGAGGGAAGCCCGUAAUUAUCAGCCCAAAGAAAAGAAUGGGAAUUGGGUUGUUUUUUAAUUUUCUUCACUUGAUAACUGCAGCAAUUUUUGAGACUGUAAGGAGAAAGGAAGCAAUCAAAGAAGGAUAUUUGAAUGAUACUCAUGGAGUGUUGAAAAUGUCUGCAAUGUGGCUUGCACCUCAACUUUGUUUGGCUGGUAUAGCAGAAAUGUUCAAUGUUAUUGGCCAGAAUGAGUUUUAUUACAAAGAGUUUCCAAAGAGUAUGUCUAGUGUUGCUGCUUCCCUUUCUGGAUUGGCAAUGGGUGUAGGAAACUUGGUAUCCUCUUUAGUAUUGAGCAUUAUAGAAAGCACUACUCCAAGUGGAGGAAAUGAAGGGUGGGUUUCUGAUAAUAUUAACAAAGGUCAUUUCGACAAGUAUUAUUGGGUUAUAGUUGGAAUUAAUGCUCUAAAUCUAUUGUAUUACUUAGUAUGCAGUUGGGCUUAUGGACCUACAGUUGAUGAAGUAUCCAAUGUGAGUAAAGAAAAUGGUUCCAAAGUGGAAGAAUCAACUGAAUUCAAGCAUAUGAAUCCACACUUUGAUGACAAGGUUAGUGGUGAAACUAGUUCAAAGGAGAAAGAGUUAACUGAAUUCAAGAAUGGGGCCCAGGUUGAGAAAGUAUUCAAGAAUAGUGAACAAAGGGACUUGAAGGAGGAAGAUUUGUGAUAGAAGGCUUAUAUUUCGUCCAAUUCAUUUGGAGAAAUGUUAUAAACGCUUUUUUUAACACUCCUAACACCUCAUCUUUUAUUUGAUGAAAUUCACGUGGGACUCAUCAUU